UUCUUUCCUUUCUUGUUUGCUUACUCGCUUGAAUUUAUUGUACUGAUACAGAAUGUGUUUUCUUUCUUUAAAUCUAGGAUGCUUUAGAUAAAGGUCAAGCCUCCCUUAAUUUGCCACUCUAUCUAGAGACCCAUUUCAUGAAUUGUAUUCCCUUUGCUUGCUAGAGUUCUUUCUCAUAGUUGCACUUGAGGCUCAACCUUUUACUGACCUUUAAGGUUUCUUCCAUUUUUCUCCCUUACAUAGAAUUGUAGAAUUGGAAGGGACCCCAAGGGUCAUCGAGUCCAGCCCUCUGCUAUGCAAGAAUCUCAGCUAAAGCAUCCCUGACAGAUGACCACACAACCUUUGCUUAAAAACCUCCAAGGAAGGAAAGUCUACCACCUCAAGAAGGCAUCUGUUCCACUGUUGAACAGCUCUUACUGUCAGAAAAUUUCCUGUCUAGAAUUCUGCCUUCCUCUGUGUUUAGCAUUCCUUAUCUGGAAGCAUGAGUAUAGGCUCCGAAUCAGCUCUCACUACUCAUAUCCACCAAGAAGCAACGCAGUAAGACAGACCCUGAAGGAACAAGUCCUGAUCUUGUCCCCAUAGCAAGCAAAAUUAAUCACCGAGCAAAGCACCACGUCUACCGGUACUAUCGAGUCUGGAACCUGCUGGCUCCCUCGGACUCAUUUGUAACUGCUCUGUUAAACUGGGCUUUUUGAACAUAGGAUCUAAUGCAGGCAUUUGAACGGCGCUGUCUGGCCAGGUGACAAACCAAGCUCCCAAGACCCUAAUUUCAUCAGCUGGGAUGUUUCAAAUUAUGAAGGGUUUGCAAUACAUAUUCAGUAAACAGAGCACUCGUCUUGUCACGAUGAUGCAGUACUCUGCAUUGUUCGUCUAAGUGGCUUGGCUAUGGCUUCCAUAUAAGAGGGCUGAUGUCAGCUGUAUUCAGCUGAAAAAUGAGAAUGCAAGGGUCAAAUAUGACAUGAUGGAAUAGCAGCUAGGAGUAUUCAUUCCCAUGACUGCUCUAUUCACACAAGGGGGGGUAUUCUUUAUGUGACAGAGAGCAAAAUCUCUCCCUUCCCAACAUUACCUCACCCUACUUGGAGCAGUUUCCUCACAGUAUUUAAUGGCUGGUGUUUUACUGUGUUUUUAAUAUUUUGUUGGGAGCCUCCUAGAGUGGCUGGGGCAACCCAGUCAGAAGGGCAUAUAAAAAUUGUUACUACUACUGCUGCUAUUACAUACCCUCCAACAUUUCUCCAAUGAAAAAAGGGACAUCCUAUUACAGUGGUACCUUACUUCUCAAAUGCCUUGGUUCCCAAACACCGAAAACCCGGAACUAAGUGUUCCGGUUUUCGAACUUUUUUCAGAAGCUUAACGUCCGAUGAGGCAAUUGAAUAUUGUUUCUGGGGUGCCUGCACCAAUCAGAAGCCAUGCCUUGGUUUUCAAACAUUUCAGAAGUCAAACAGACUUCCGGAACGGAUUAAGCUUGGCACUUUUGUUUUUGCUAUUUAUUUUGCGUUUUUGUUUUUGAGGCUUUUUCAGUUAAUUUGUUUUUGUGACUGUGUGGAACCCAAUUCAGCUACUGAUUGAUUGAUUGUGUGACUGCGGAAAUGGAUAAAAGCCCCCCAUCCAAACAAUGACUAUCAUCAGUGCAGGACUGUUUUGUUCCAUCUGCCUGCUCUCAUAUUUACGGCUUCAAAGGCAAAGUCAGAACGCUGUGGAGAUAUGGAGGCAUAACUUGAGUAGGCAGGAAGAAUGUGGUCAAUGUUGUGGGACUGGAACUCAAUCCCAGCCUAACCGCCUCACUUGCUCCUGUCACUGUCUUUGUUCUUCAAGAUGCAACAUGGCCACGGACUUCAAGGUGAUGUGAAAUGUUAUCUCAAGGCAAUUUCUCUAUCUUCGCAUGGCUGUCAGAAAGGAUAAAUAUUGCCCUUUGGAGAUUUCUUCUAUUUGAAAGUUUGGCAUGGACUGUAUGUCUGUUUACUCAGAAGUAAGCUCCACUUCCUUCAGAGGGAUUUCUUCCCAGCUAAACAUGCAUGGGAUUGAAACUUUGACAUACUGUGACCAACGAAAGAUGCAAAGAUGUGGCAAUCACAUUUUUUCCGGCUUAAUAUUUCAUUUUAAUUAAGGGAGGAUGGGUCUUAAUGAGCCAUGGAAUACGUGCCAACAUUUGCAUGCUCUUCUCAGAGAUGUAUAACUUUUAAAGUGCAGUGACUAUUAAUAGUGGGCUUAAUUAAAGCUUGCUUACAUAGAUAAGAAAUUGCAUCAGCUUCGCAUGAAUUGUGUCUUGUCUUAAGUUAUUGCAGACGGAAUAUAAAGGUUUGGGUGAUGGAGCAAUAUUUUAUUUCUUUUUUAAUUAGGAUUUUCAGGUUUCAGUAUUUUUUUAAAAAAAUAAGUUUCCUCUUUUUUUUUUUUU